rnacentral:rRNA from 1 species
AGCUCCAAUAGCGUAUAUUAAAGUUGUUGCAGUUAAAAAGCUCGUAGUUGGAUUUGUGGUUGAGGUGGCCGGCCCUCACUAUGUGUGGUGCUUGGCUGUCCUCGUCCAUCCUUGGGUGGAACUGGUGUGGCAUUAAGUUGUCGUGUCAGGGAUGCCCAUCAUUUACUGUGAAAAAAUUAGAGUGUUCAAAGCAGGCUUACGCCGCUGAAUAUAUUAGCAUGGAAUAAUGAGAUAGGACCUUGGUACUAUUUUGUUGGUUUCCGGAACUCGAGGUAAUGAUUAAUAGGGACGGACGGGGGCAUUUGUAUUGCGACGUUAGAGGUGAAAUUCUUAGAUCGUCGCAAGACAAACUACUGCGAAAGCAUUUGCCAAGAAUGUUUUCAUUAAUCAAGAACGAAAG